rnacentral:rRNA from 1 species
AACCCGGUGAUCUAGCCAUGGGCAGGUUGAAGGUUGGGUAACACUAACUGGAGGACCGAACCGACUAAUGUUGAAAAAUUAGCGGAUGACUUGUGGCUGGGGGUGAAAGGCCAAUCAAACCGGGAGAUAGCUGGUUCUCCCCGAAAGCUAUUUAGGUAGCGCCUCGUGAAUUCAUCUCCGGGGGUAGAGCACUGUUUCGGCAAGGGGGUCAUCCCGACUUACCAACCCGAUGCAAACUGCGAAUACCGGAGAAUGUUAUCACGGGAGACACACGGCGGGUGCUAACGUCCGUCGUGAAGAGGGAAACAACCCAGACCGCCAGCUAAGGUCCCAAAGUCAUGGUUAAGUGGGAAACGAUGUGGGAAGGCCCAGACAGCCAGGAUGUUGGCUUAGAAGCAGCCAUCAUUUAAAGAAAGCGUAAUAGCUCACUGGUCGAGUCGGCCUGCGCGGAAGAUGUAACGGGGCUAAACCAUGCACCGAAGCUGCGGCAGCGACGCUUAUGCGUUGUUGGGUAGGGGAGCGUUCUGUAAGCCUGCGAAGGUGUGCUGUGAGG